GACAGAGGGGGCAAGCGUUGCUCGGAAUUACUGGGCGUAAAGAGCGCGUAGGCGGGAUGGCAAGUCGGUCGUGAAAUCCCUCGGCUCAACCGAGGAACGUCGAUCGAUACUGCUGUUCUUGAGGAUUGCAGAGGAGACUGGAAUUCCCGGUGUAGCGGUGAAAUGUGUAGAGAUCGGGAGGAACACCGGUGGCGAAGGCGGGUCUCUGGGCAAUUCCUGACGCUGAGGCGCGAAAGCGUGGGGAGCAAACGGG
rnacentral:rRNA from 1 species